rnacentral:tRNA from 1 species
GUAAAGUGCAAAUUUACAAACGCACCAUAAGCGGUGCCAGGGCUU